rfam:Wickerhamomyces ciferrii, NRRL Y-1031 F-60-10, WGS project CAIF01000000 data, contig: 00006
GCGGUUUUAGCUCAGUCGGGAGAGCGUUAGACUGAAGAUCUAAAGGUCCUGUGUUCAAUCCACAGAAAUCGCA